CAAAAUUACACUCAGCCAGACAUUUAGCCGAUCUAUCUACUCAAUUCAUCAGUAGAGAGACACAAGUGCCUCUGGCUUGAAUGUUGUCAGGACACAAAAUCAGCAUUUCUAUCACUUGUCAUUGUUGUCUCUUACUUUUCCAAAUCAGUGAGUGCAGGCAUCUAAAACAGCAUUUACACAAUAUACCAUUGUGUUUUAAAUAAAUUCAUAUUUAAUCAACUAAUAAUAAUUUUCAAUAGUACACAAUAUUCAUAUAUUAGUUACAGUAAGACGAUUCCAUUCUUUCAUAUUAUCCUGAAAAUGUAGAGAAAUUAAUCUAAAUUAGUUUUUUUUUAAAUAAUAAUAAAUAUAAAAUAAUAUAUAAUAAUAUAAAGAAAUAAUAAAAUUCCAAAUUUGGAUUCUUCCAGAUGUCUCUGGCUGCUGUUAAGUGAAUAAAAAGUUGUUGACGUUUUUGUUUCACCGGUAGGUAUCAAUGCUACUAAACUGCAUUGUAAUCUUUACAUUUGUACUCAUCUAAGUAACACAUCAGUCCUUCUCCCGCAUUUUCAGAAAGGACCCUGGUCGCUUGGAUGAAGAAUUAAUUGCCUCUAAAGCAACAGCUACCAGAUGUUGUUGCUCCUAACAGCCAGGUGUGGAUAAAUUGCAUAUGCAGAAUGUGUGUAAAAUAUUUAAAGUCGUAUCUUUCACUUAAGGUGUGAAGUGUUUUUAUUGCCCAUCACUGCUUUGAGUAUGGCGAGAGGAAAGGCCGGCGGCCCCCCUGGGCCUGCCGCGCUGGAGCUCAGCACCUGUGGUGUUAAGACUGCGGAUGGAGAGGCUGACAGUGAGACUUGGCGUGGCAGUGUGUCGUUGUGGGGGUGGGGGGUCCAUCCACCUGUUCGCCCUCUAAUUCUCUCCUGGCUGCCACCUUUAACACUGCAUUAUUUACAGGUGCUCUCUGGAUGGAGACACAAGCUGCUGUCUGCUUUAAAUAUGGAUGGUUGUGUGUGUGUAUGUGUGUGUGUGUGUGCAGGUUGUUCUCCCAUCCACACUGAGACAUUUUCCACCAACAAAAACUCUAAAGUGGAUAAAUUUCAAACUGCUGAGUUUGUGUGUUUGAGGGAGCUGCAGACCACCCCCCUCACUAAGAUGGAAAAAGACACACACACACGUGAAUUGACUGUGUUAAGUUCAAGAAAACGGACUAAUACAGGAAGUUCAGGUUUAUAUGUUGUGCUUUUAUUUUGGGGAACUCCUCUAGGAACUCUCUCUUUGAGGCCUUCUUCCGGGGGAAGUGUUUUCAGGGAGCACACCUGAAACUUCAGUCACAGGUCUCCAGCUGAUUUCAAUUAGCUUGUUAGGCUGAACCAAGUGCCAGGAAAGAGAGAGGGGAGUGGGGUAGAGGUGUUUGUUUGUUUGUUUGUUAAGUUGGCUUUUGUUUGAUAUUUCUUCCAUUUAUCAUGCAUAUUAUUUAAUUUGUAAUAUGUAAUAUUCAUUUGUAUGUUUUAUAUGUAAAUAUUAAGGUUAUAUUGUACGCUAAGUUAAAUUGAUUGUAGGAGUGGGUAUAUGCCUUUCAUUGUUGGUAUGGACCACAGGUAUAUAUGUCAGGUUGGAGAAGCAGUGUUGGGUGUGUGAAAGAGGGAGAAUCAGGUUGAGUGUCACCUUAAUCCUGGAAUCAGCUACAUGUGUUUCCCAGUUUUGUUGUCCAUCUGUCUGCUAACCACUGGUUGUACACUGCACAUGAGGAACAGCGGGAAGUGGAUCUGUGACCAUCUACCAGUGGGACCGUCAGCCACUCUGAUGACCUCAGUGCUUAGCUCUGUGCUGCAUUUGCUCAGUGAGGUUGGGAAGAAAGUGCUUAAAAGCUCCUGUGCCAGCAGCAGAAGGAAGAGGCUUCUGGUGUGAGGACUGCUGGUUUUGCUGCCUCUUAGCUUAGGACUUGAUAUUGUCUUUUUCAUAUUUCCUUGUUAAUAAAUCCUAUGGAUAUGAGAGUCUUAAAGGUGUCUUCUGUGUUUGGUUUGGGUCAGAGGUAGAGUGUUGUUCGCCUCAAUAGGUCUGCCCAAGAGAGGGGUGUAACACUAUUUUACAACAUUU